AGGCAAAACACAGGUGUGACUUUCACACAGAGAGUCAUAAAGUGUGUUUAUAAAAGGAUGCAAAUAUUUCUGGGGAAAAAAAACAUUUAGAAAAAAGAAAACACCUUGAAACCAGUCACUUGGGAGUAAAACAAUACAGAUGUUUUCAACCAAGAAUGAAAAGAAAAAGAUACUACAGUUUGUAAAAAUGAGAUCACUGGGUCAUUAUGUACUUCUGGUAUUUCAAUCUUCUAUCCAGGCCAGCCUCCUAAAUAAAUAAAAGGAUAGGCUAAUAUUUGCUAUGGGGCCAUUUUGACUGUUAAACCUAUCAAGGAUGCUCUGCGGUUUUUCAGGGAUUAUUUGCUGAGCUGAAGGAAGAAAGGCUGAUCCUUACAAUCCUUCAGUAAACAAAUAUUAGAGUGCUGUUUGAACCAGCAGCGGCGCAGGGACAAAGUUUUAGCUAUGCUCAACCGAUCACACCCAAAGGGAUAUAUUUUGGGACUUGACACCACCCCAGCCAAUCCACGAGUACUGAGCUCUGCAUAAUCUGUAGAUCUGGUCUCUGGUCAACAACAAGGUGUAAUCGUCCAGGCUCCAAGGGACAGCCUGGAUUUCAAACUGAAUACGAUCUACGACCACGGCACGGACUUAUUCUGGAGCAAGAAUCAAAUGGUGUGCCAGAGAGAAACCAUCACUGUUGGCAAACGAAGGAAAAGGAAAAACUUAGAGAAGCAGCUCAUGCUACAACAAGAGCAAAAGGAGGGCAUUAGAGUUUGGAUCGACCCGAAGAGGAACACCUACCACUACCUGACAUGACGGGAAAAUAUUGUCAGGCGCUCUGCUUUCUCAACAAUUAGAACUUCAGCUUUGGAGGAGGCUUCAAGAACUACCAACUACUGCUGCUGCUAACCAGGACGUCCUGACAAUAAAACAGUCCUGUCAGUGUUUUUUGUUUUGCCGGUGCGUGAACAAACCAAAAACAGAACAAUAUAGUGUAAUGUAGUAUCAUUUUCAUACUCGAUACACCAAAUGUUUUUCUUUUGGCUUGGUGAAUACUAAACAUUCACCAAGUAGAAAAAGAAGAGAGUUGAAGCUGCUUUUAAUUUGGCAGUGCAGUAAAGAACAAAUUCAGUGGUUUCUUUUUGGACAAACUUUGAUCAGUCUAUAUCUAUAAAACUAAAAAAAUCUGGGCCGGUUUAUCCUCAGAAAAUAGAGACGCUUUAAAUACUUAUGACUUAAAAAGAACUUGUAGAUUAAUACCUGAAUUUCAUAAUAUGUCUAAGAAAAAAAUGGGGAUUACAAUGCAAAACUGAACGUAGUUCAAGGACGUCAAGUUUUGUUUCAAAAAGGAAAAUUAACUAGUCAAAAAAUGUUUAACUACCAUUUGUAUUCAGUUGUGUUCAAUGAAGUAGCUAGAAAAUCUCACCAAAAAUGGAGAUCAUCCAAAUGUAAAUCAGUGUCAUCCCCCUUUAGCUUUCCAGAAAUUCUGAUUUUUCUUUUAUUCUCUUUUAUCCUCAAUUUAAAUUUUUCAGUGCUUCCAGUCUUUCCAAGACAGCAUAUAAAAAGUGGUUUUGGACAUUUCUGUCUACUUUAUAUAAAAGAGUAACACACCAACUCACAAAACAAUUUAUUUAGACAUAUCACACCGUAUUACAUUUUUUGCUUCAAAACAUGCUGAACAGAAAGUGGAAAUGUGCAAAUAGUAAAUAGUGACUUUAAAUCUCUGUCUAGUUAACCAUGAAAAUAAAAUGUAAAGUCAAAGAUGUAAGUGGGGUAUUGAUAU